rnacentral:rRNA from 1 species
UGGUGGAGUGAUUUGUCUGGUUAAUUCCGUUAACGAACGAGACCUCGACCUACUAAAUAGUUGACUAAACUCUUCGGGGUUUGGAUUGACUCCUUAGAGGGACUUUUGGUGAGUAGCCAAAGGAAGUUCGAGGCAAUAACA